rnacentral:rRNA from 1 species
UCUAAAGAGACUGCCGGUGUCAAACCGGAGGAAGGUGGGGAUGACGUCAAGUCCUCAUGGCCUUUAUGACCAGGGCUACACACGUACUACAAUGGCAGGUACAAAGGGCAGCCACUUAGCGAUAAGGCGCGAAUCCCGUAAAACCUGUCUCAGUCCGGAUUGGAGUCUGCAACUCGACUCCAUGAAGUUGGAAUCGCUAGUAAUCGCAGAUCAGCACGCUGCGGUGAAUACGUUCCCGGGCCUU